UCCUGGUUAGCUCAGUUGGAAGAGCGCACCACUGGAGAUAGAGAGCUUCCUGAUUCGAUACCAGGACCAGGUG
rnacentral:tRNA from 1 species